UACGUAGGGUGCGAGCGUUGUCCGGAAUUAUUGGGCGUAAAGAGCUUGUAGGCGGUUUGUCGCGUCUGCCGUGAAAAUUCGAGGCUCAACCUCGAACUUGCGGUGGGUACGGGCAGACUAGAGUGUGGUAGGGGAGACUGGAAUUCCUGGUGUAGCGGUGAAAUGCGCAGAUAUCAGGAGGAACACCGAUGCGAAGGCAGGUCUCUGGGCCACUACUGACGCUGAGAAGCGAAAGCAUGGGGGAGCGAACAGG
rnacentral:rRNA from 1 species